rnacentral:rRNA from 1 species
GACGAACGCUGGCGGCGUGCUUAACACAUGCAAGUCGAACGGAAAGGCCCUGCUUUUGUGGGGUGCUCGAGUGGCGAACGGGUGAGUAACACGUGAGUAACCUGCCCUUGACUUUGGGAUAACUUCAGGCAACUGGGGCUAAUACCGGAUAGGAGCUCCUGCUGCAUGGUGGGGGUUGGAAAGUUUCGGCGGUUGGGGAUGGACUCGCGGCUUAUCAGCUUGUUGGUGGGGUAGUGGCUUACCAAGGCUUUGACGGGUAGCCGGCCUGAGAGGGUGACCGGCCACAUUGGGACUGAGGUACGGCCCAGACUCCUACGGGAGGCAGCAGUGGGGAAUAUUGCACAAUGGGCGGAAGCCUGAUGCAGCAACGCCGCGUGCGGGAUGACGGCCUUCGGGUUGUAAACCGCUUUCGCCUGUGACGAAGCGUGAGUGACGGUAAUGGGUAAAGAAGCACCGGCUAACUACGUG